rnacentral:lncRNA from 1 species
CCUGACAGCUCCUGGUACCACGGCUGCUGCGAGCCCGGGAUGUCCAAAAAUUCCAGCUGACUCAUCUGUGGAUUCAUAUUAUCCGAAACAAUGAUAGAGGCAUCCUAUGUAUUUCCUUAUGUCACUAGUGAACAUCGAUGAAGAUGGAAAAAUGAAACGGGCCUAAAAUGAAGCCCCUGUCAGUACUGGAGUCCGCCCUCUAUCCUACCCUCAAUCUGUCAACAGCUCUCUGGGGAUGAAUGUUUACUCAGACAAGCCAUGCUCUUGACAAGAAUCUCACUGAGCCCAGCUCUGUCAGAGGCCCCGCUGAAGGCGUGGUGCUGUCACUUGGGCAGACUUUCUGAAUGACACAGGCCUUCCUCUCCUGAUGCCCAGCCUGUGCCUUGCAUGAACCCUCUCCUAACAAGGUGUGUGGAUUGAGUUGACCACUGAAAAUCAGCACUCACUUAUGCCCAGGGACUACCCUUCAUUAAAACUUCAGCGUAAGCUGUGUUCAAGGGCCAACGAUGUGGUCUUCCAGUGUGAUUGGAAAUUUAGAAAAAAAGAAUUUUUUUUUGGUAAAAGAAAAAUUUGGUGAAGUAUUAUAAAGUCUCAAGGAAGCUGUAGAAUUAUUGGAUUUUUCACACUAAGG